GUCGUCCUAUUUACGUUUUGUCUGAUAGCCUAAUGAUGCAAAAACUUGUUGUGAUCACUCGACGAUCAUUAAUGCCGUUUCUUCUGUUUCAAUUUGGCACCAUACUUGUUACAUUAAAAGGGAUACUCAAAAGGUCCCGACAGGUUAGAUAUAUCUAACAUUGAACAUGGGUCCCACAAAAUCUACUACACAAUGAUAAAUGGAAACCUAGGUACGAGUUCUUUUUGAUCCUCACACGUUUCUUUCUCAUUCUCACUAAGUCACACAAUACAAGGAGCAAAUACCAAAUCACUCAGAAAAAAAUAAAAGUAAAUACAUAAAAUAUUGAUCCCAUCUUAAUAAUCUCU
rnacentral:lncRNA from 1 species